GUUUAUCCAAAAACAUUAGAUUAACUGAAAAGAUUAUCCAAAAAUCUUAAAUCAAGGCCACAGUGCCUAAACCAGGUGAGGUGAGUAAUAAGUUAUCAAACUACUGUAUCAAGGCAGACCUUAGAAGUUCAAUGUCCUGAAAAUCCUUCAGGACUUUAUGUAUCCACGUGGACACCUAGUCAAUGUGUGUUGGCUGCCCUCAUAGGUAAAUGCCAAUACAUGUUGGGUUUCCUUUUGUAAGGAAAUAGGAAAGAAGGCUUAAAAUGGAUUAUAAUAUAAAAAGAAUCAGUGUCCGUGAUUGUAGCUGGAUUAGGAAUCAGUAGACAAAUGGGUCCUACAAUAGCAUUAAUGGCUCUGCAAUCUUGAAUAAAGUGGUUCUAGUGAUACUGCCCUUCAGUGGAGGAUUUCUUGAUGGUAUGGUGUUUUAAAGGCCGAAUUGUUGUAUUGAUCUAAUAAAUGUUGUAUAAUGAGAAUAAUUCUCUUUAGUGAUUCCUGAAUAAGAGGGUAUGUGAUAUUUUGGGCACUUAAACAUUAUUACUGGUCCAGCUGAGGGGAUUUGUCCUAUCAUAGUAGAUGGUAAUCAUUGCAAAAUUGCCUCAUCUUUGGAUGCCAUUAUUAGGCAAGAGUUGUAAUCACUAGAGACAAAUAUUGGUUCCAAAGUGUCAUUCACCAAAUCAUGAUGUACAUCAGCGAUGACUUGAUAGAUCCCAUCAGGAGGGUAUUAAAUCAGUCCAACUUUGAUAAUAGAUUUUUGCCUAAAAGUGUGUAGGGGCAUGUGAAGCUUAAUAAUAAGGAUUUUUCUUCUUUUCAUUAGUGGAAUAUUAAUUUAGAUAGUUUGCUGAAGAGUGUUGAGGACAAUAUUGUUAGAUGUGUCAAUCAAAAAGGAUUCAUUUUGUUAUUCAGUUCCCAAGUUACAAUGGGACUUUCUUUGUUUACAGUAACUAGCAGUGCACAUGGUUCAUUAUGUCAUUGUGAAUCAGCAAGAGCAUUCAGACAGAAAGGGGAGAGAGGGGGAGGAAAAAUAUAUUAACUGUCUCCUUCCUUUUUUAGUCUCUCCUGUUGUGUAUCCAUCCCAUCUUGUUGUAAGGUUCUGAACUCUUGGGCAAAGAGACCAAUCUUCCAUACAUGAAACAUUAUCCUUGGUGUAUUACUUUUAACCCUUCCCCAGAUUCUUCCGUGUGACUUUCCUGUUAUAGAACUUUAAAGGGACACUAUAGUCACCAAAACAACUUUACCUCAAUGAAACAGUUUGUGUACAGUGGUGCAUAGAUCAUGUACCUGCAGUCUGACUGCUCAAUUCUCUGUCAUUUAGGAGUUAAAUCACUUUGUUUAUGAACCCUAGUCACACCUCCCUGCAUGUGACUUGCACAGUCUUCAUAAAUACUUCCUGUAAAGAGUCAUCUAAUGCUUAUCCUUCCUUUAUUGCAAGUUCUGUUUAAUUUAGAUUUUCUUAUCCCCUGCUAUGUUAAAAGCCUGCUAGAACCUGCAAGAGCCUCUUGUAUGUGAUUAAAGUUCAAUUUGCAGUGAAAGAGAUACAAUUGUUUAGCGUAAAUUACAUCUGAUUGAAAGUGAAACCAGUUUUUUUUUUCAUGCAAGCUGUGUCAAUCAGGUGUGGCAAUAGUUGCAGAAACAGAAACAAAGUGACUUAACUCCUAAAUGGUAGUGAACUGAGCAAUGAAACCUGAGAGGCAUGAUCUAUACAUGAAAACUGCUUCAUUAAGCUAAAGUUUUUUAGGUGACUAUAGUGUCCCUUUAACUAAGCAGCCAUAAGAUUUGAAUACAGGCAUUUCUUUUUGAUAGAAAUUAAUUUAACAUUGGCACCAAUGUAAUAUUCUUGGAUAAAUAUUUGUAAGUGUAUCCAAUAAUUGGCAAUGUCUACAGAUUUUGUAUAUGUAUCAACAAUAAAACCAAUAUAACACAUUACAACCAUGUCUGAUGAUAUUAUUUUACUGUCUCCCAGAAAUCAUCUACUAUUAUGCAGAUAUGACCAACAUGUACAGGUAGGUCCUGGCCAAGAAUAAUCAUCAUUGAGGGUGUAUUUGGUGUAUUCUGCCCCUUUGCCAUAUUUGGGAGUCUUGAUGGGUCUAACAUUGCAAUUGUGUCUAGCUUUUUAAACUCAAACCACUGAAAAUAAACAUAUAUAAAGGAGUAAAAAAAGAAAAGAAAGGUGCCAGGGAGAGGUAAGCCAAAAUAUGCAGGACUUUCCCUAUUUCCCACUUCCACUCACAGUAUUCCUUCCAAGGUUCCCCCGAUGUUUAUGGAAUUUGGGUAGUGUGCUUCUUUAAUUUUGAAUAGGACUGUUGGAAUCUCAGGUUUUAGCCAUGAUUGUGUGAUGGCUCUCCAAGCUGCCAAAUUGAUCAUGUUAAAUAGCUUCUUUGUAUGUGUACCCUCUAUCAGCCGGGCAAGUAGGAAGUGCCAUGCAUUAUAUCUUAUAUCAGGGUGUUUACUUCCCUGCACAAUCUCUCCACCCUUGAGCAGGUCCCCCACAUAUGUAUAUGUUUCUCUCUCUCCACUCUUACACCAGCAUUCAUCUGGCACACUGCAUAUGCUUGCCAGAUGAGGAACUAAAGUGUUGAUAUACGGUAGUGUUGUUAUUAAACUCAACUGCGUGGUUUCAUCUAGGCAUAGUUUCUCAAAAAAUGGUAAUGGAGAAGGUGCUGCUUGGUUCACCAACUUUAAGUUUGUGAAAACUUUGAGUUGAAGGUACCGGAAGUAAUCGCCUGGAGUCAAAUGUUUAAUGCUUUGCAAGUCUGAAACUGAUUAUCUCAUUGUUGCAAUAUAGUUGUCAGUAUUGCUGUAGCCCUAUGUUCUCUAUGCCCCUAAAAUCCCUUGCCCUCUUGCCAGGUAUAAAUGCUUUAUUUUUCAAGUAUGGUGUCAUCAGGGAGGAAGAUAAACCUAGCAAAUAUUUCCCACCAAUUGUAUUCUAGAGAUGUAGAAAUAUAACUUUUGCUGCGUAGGGAGAGCAUAUAAGUUCUCUCUGAGAUCUUGGGACCCACAUGUAGAACUGAGGAAUAGCUGCCCCCAUAAUAAGUGACUCUAUCUCAACCCAGCAUCUGCAGUCAUGGGGAGAAUGCCAGUGAAUCACCUCCUGGGCCAUGUGUGCUGCUAGUUAAUAAAAAUAACUCAGUUUUGGUCGGUAUAGUAAGUUUUGGACCAAUCGGUGGUGUUUAUGCUAAUAUAUGAAUUCAUCAAUGGCGGUUUGUAGGCUGGCUAGAUCUCACAUUGUGACCCUGCUCGGAAGGAAUUGAAAUAGAGUAUUCUAGGCAGUAUAUUCAUCAUAAGUGAAUGGAUUUGUCCUAUCCUGAAAACAUUUGUCCUGAUCGGAAACUAGGUGUUUGUUUGAGUGUAGUUUUGGGAGAACAGCAAUGUGGGAUCAGCUGUGAUCACCUAAUUAAGAGAGAGCCUCUCUCUCGACUUUGAGUUGGUAUAACGCUUAAGCCCGCAGUAGCCAUGUUUUUGGGACAUAGCCACUGAUAUUGUCAUAUUGACCAUGUAUCCUGAUAUAUGCCCAAAGGAUUGCAGGAUAUCAUGUAGGUAGCCAACAGAUGCAAUUGGAUCUGCCAAAUUGAGCAUUACAUCAUCAGCAUAGGCUGACAUUUUAAAGGUGCUUUCUGUAAUCUCGACUCCCUUAAGUGUUAGGAUGCAUUCUUACUGAGUUUACCAGGGGUUGUAAGGAUAUCACAAAUAACAUUCCUGAUGUGUUCCAUUGCUCAAGUAAAAUGGAGUUGGCCAUGCCCAGUAAUGAGUGUUGUGCUCUGGGGUUAGAGUACAGUGCUUUCACUGCUGUAGUAUUUGAAAAAUCCAAGGAGCUCAAAUAGUUAUGUCCAUAUUACUCCGUUGAGCUCCUCCUUUACAUUCAAAGAAAGAACCAGAGACAGUGUUUUUGUAUCUCACAACCGCUAGAUCAGAUCCUCCCACUCUGGGUAUUUUUGUAAAUCUUUCUAUAAGGUAUGAAACUAACCUGGUCGUAAUCUAUCAGGUAGCCCACUAUCUGAUUCAAGCGCUCUGUGAGAUUUUUUACGUUUGCUGUUAAUGAUAUAGGUCUUACUGGAGACCAGAGUGUCAUCACUUCCCAAUUUUUGUUAGCAAUACAAUAUUAACUAGAACAAUGUGUUCAUUUGGUGUCCCUCCUUGUCCAAAACCAUAAGAAAUUGUUUCUAUAUGAGGAACCAGUUCUUUGCUAAACACUUUAUAAUAUCUUUAUAAUAUCCCCCAUCAAACCUGUCUGGGCUGGUGCAGUAUUUCCUUUUAAUGCCAAGAUAGCUGAGGUUAUCUGAUCUUGUGUUAUAGGGGAUGCCAAGGUAUUGGCUGUGUCUAAUUGGUAUAUCAGGCUAUGCCAAAGUGGCAAAAUAUUAUUUUAUGUCUGCAAGAUAUUGGGCGUUAUUUUUGUUAUGAUGGGGAGGGUGAUUGUAUAAAGUUGAGUAGUAUUAUGUUAACACUGAUUGAUGCCUCCUAGUGAUGUUCCUACUCUUUCUGAGGGAUCCCAUAUGGUUGUGCCAGUUUAGUUCCACUAUGUGGAUGCAACACCCUGACCAGGAGAGUGUCCAUUUUAUUGGACUUCUCGUAAAAUAAUCUUUUAGAUUAUAAUAUGUAACGGGCCAAGUCCUCUAUGGCUAGCUCCUUUAAAGUGUUGAGAAUGGCACUCAAUUCUGUAAAGUUUUCAGGAGUUGGGUUUGAUUUAUGUUGUUGUUCCAUUUUCUGGACUGCUCCCUGCCACCUUAAUAAAAUGUCCACGUAAAACCGCUUUGUUGGAUUCCCAGAUUGUAGUCUUGUGCAUUUCAGGAGUUAUAUUAUGUUCAAAAUAUUCUCAGAUAAUUUUUUGAGUUGUACUGACCAACUCUGUAUCCUGAAGUAAGAACAAGAUGUUUUCUAUGUCCAGGAGUAUGCGGUUUUCAAUUUUCUAAAGGUGAUAGAUAUAUCUGCGUGGUCCGACCAUGUAAUAUUGUCGAUGUCUGUCCUAUUGUCAUGCUCCUGAGCAGGUCAGAGAGGAGACUAUUGCAAGGGUUAUUGGUUAAAACUUUAUUUGUCGUAUUAGACAUAACAAAUUUAAUGAAAAUAAAGAAUAAAGGUCAGUCUGCCACAAAAAGGAUACUUUGUGAGAAAAAAAAGGGUUUAGGCGAUAUGCCACAAACAAGAUCUUUAGAAAGUAAAUUAACAAAGUCUUUUGUAUACAAGCAAGCUUGAAGUUAUACCAAGUAGUUAAGAAUUUCCAGGAUAGUUUGAAAUGCAGCUCGUUAUAGGUAAAUACCUUUUAGGAUAAGGCAAUACAGGAUCAUGCAGAGUUGCAGAGGUUGAAACAGGUAGGUAUAUUCCAAAAUAAUAUAAUGCAGGUUGCUUACAAGAUCAUGCAGUGAUGCAGCAAUUGAAGCAGUUAAGAUUCUUCAAUGAAGGCAAUACGCCACAAAUCAGGAUUCUUGGAAGCUGAUAAGGAAAGUCUUUCGGUAGGAUGUAAUUCAGGCAAGUUCAAGAUGAAGUAAUGCAGGUUAGUGCCUUUCAAUACGAGGAAAUGCAGAUGAGUACAGGAUGAGGCACUGCAGGUAAGUUCUCUACAGGAUGAAAUAAUGUAGAUAAAAUACAGGAUAUUACCAGGAACAGAGAUUCUUUAUCAGAGCAUAGACUUCAAUGUCAAUGCACUGUUGUGUGCCGGGAGUAGACUUCUCAAGCCUCCUAAUUAGUUAAUCCAGGUGAGGUUAUUAAGGUGAGUGAAUAGAUUAGUGGCUAGGGAGGCCACUAGAGUAGAAAAUCAUGAAGUUCACUUAAAGGGCCAGUAAUAAACGAAAAAGUCUUACAUGCCAGUUUUGAAACCUGACACCUAUCAACCUUUGCCAUUUCAACAUUGUUUAUCAGGAAGUAGGCAAUUUUGUUUAUCAUGAAGUAGUCAAUUCUAGAUUAUGUAGAAUGUGGUGUUGGGUAGAAUGUGUAGUCAAUGGUGUCAGGGUGCUGUAUCCACCAGGCAUUUUACAUUCCAGUGCUUCUAUGAACCUGUGCACUAAUUUAAUCUGUCCCCCAUCCCAUGGGAUCAAGCAUACCCUGCAUGGAGCUUCUGUCUACUAUUGGACACGGCACCGCAUUGAAGUCACCCCUCCCAACAAUAUUAUUCCAUACAACAUUGAGUGCACCAACUCUUUUCGUAAGUAAGUUUGUUCAUGUGUGAUGGGAGCAUAUAUGUUCAGCAAGUUAUAGGUCACUAGUUCAUGUUGUACAGUGUUCCUGUGAUGAGCACAUAUCUUCCUGCUGGGUCUGCUUUGGAAUAUGUCACUUACAAUGGAUAUUACUUGUGUUUGAGGAUGGCAACCCUGUUUCCAGGUUGCAAAGGUCGCAACUGCGAGCAGGCCCUAGGGUUCCUACUGUCAGUGUGGCCCAGCGGAGACCAUUCCCACUGUUUGCUUUAGCAGGAACGUUUGUGUUCUUGCAAACAUGCAAAAACAUUUUAAUUUUGACAUACACAUAAUACCUUAUUGAAUAUUUUGAACCAUCUUAGAUUACCAGUCCUAGUUCCAGCAAUCACCCGCAUUCUAUACCAUCCCUCCCAACAUGGGUAGGGGUUGCUUCUGCCCACACUUUUUCUCUUCUAGACACGGGGUGUCCCAGAUUACAAAGAACUUUGUGGGAUGUCCUGUCUAAUAGAGUUAUCAGAGGUGUUGUUAUGCUUUCCAAUUUUAAUUCUCUUUUAACUACUGUAAUGUAAUAUCUUUUCUAACUAUUGUGUGGUAUGUUGUCUACCCCUGGGCUUGUUUUCUACCCUGGCACUCAAAUCUGUUUGUGUUUAGGCCUUGGUAAGUACACGUUUGGAGCUAAUUUAGGGCCUCUGUUAAUUUGGUUUGAACAUGGUGAUGUACCCCACCCACCCCACCAACACACUUCCGUUGCAUUUUGUCUGGGAUGACUUGUUUACCAUAGAAAGAUGCUUUUUUCUGCUUAAAGAAGGAGGAAUUGUAUUAUUUAGAUCAUUUGCAGCCUUCAUAUGAGUCCGUUAGUUAUAUCAUCAGGCCUUUCUUAUUGUGAUCAGGCCACAUGCUAAGGCUCCGCAUGGAGGAGGGGAACAUAGUGAUAUAAAGGUCUAUGGGCCAAUGUGGGCUUCCACAGUUGCCUCCAGGGUUUACAAACAGGUAGUGAGAGAGUUAAUGUGUUCUGUCAUCCUGUUAUGAGAAUCUCCACUUCAAUUCUCUACUCUAAAAUGGUCAGUUGAAUCCCCAAGGCCUAGAUGUUAAAGGUUUUGAAGAAAUCACUUGCCUAUCUUUCCCACUUCCCUUUACUGUCAGCUGUCUUUAUGCACCUUGGGUUUUACUGUCAGUUAUCGGAUGCAAUACUCACAAUUUUCACAAUUUGUGUGUUACCUUUUGGAAUGGCCCGUCAGAGAGUGCAGCAAGCAAAAAAGCAGCUGAUGGUUGCAAAACAGUUAACAUUGGAUAGGAUAGCUGGCUCACGGUGCAUAAAAUGGCUGUGAAAAGGGGGUAGUGGGAUAGGCAAAUAAUUUCUUCAUAAAUUUCAACAUAAAUUAAAACUAUUGGUUUUGUUUUAACUCUCAAUGAUCCCUUUAGUACAUACCAUAAUAUAAUUACAUUACGAAAUUCCUAGGAAGAUCCGUGAUCUCUCUUAAACAAAUCUCUAGGUUGGGCUAAACAUGUGCUACCUAAUGACUGUAUCACUAGUAAUACAGAUUUUAUGGUUAAGUCAAAACUAGUAACCAUGGUUAUUUUCAAAGGUAGAGUUAACGGUUGUAAUAAAUUCACGUCAGUGUUCUUUAUAUUGCUCAGAUUCAUGCAAUCUGCAACUAGAACUAAACAUGCAUAUGUUAAGCUAAACAACGGGAACAUUAUAGGAAUCAGAAUAGGAAUCGGAGUAGUAUUUCUCAACUCCUUUAAAUGUAGGAGAGAGAAUAAUCUCUGGGUCCCAGCUAUGGCGGUAAACUGAACACCAUUAUUAUUAUUAUUAUAUUAUUUAUAUAACUCCAUCAAAUUCCGUAGCGCUGUACAAUGGGAUAAACUCGUGUGCCCUGGCUGGAAUGCAGUUAAAGGGUGUGCCAUUGGCUACAUUAUUCUUUAAAUUAAAACAAACAUAACAGGUGUCAUUAGUAUAGAAGGCUGCAACUUGGCUAGCUAACAAAACAAUAACAAUAACUGAUAUAUAUACAAUCAUGUUAUCGUGUUUAAAACAAAUAAAUUAAACUUAAAGGAAUACUGUCAUCAAUUCUUUAAAUUUUUAUGGUUAAUAUACCAUCUUGUUAUUUUUUGUUUAAUUCUUGUAAUAUUUGAUUAAAUUACUUGACUACGUUUCCUAUUCCCCUGGCUGAUAGCCAUAUUUAUGCACCUUCUAUCAGAGUGUCAGUUGUCUGACCAAGUGCUCAAGAGAGAGUGCCAAAGGUUCACAGCUGAUUCCAUUAACAGGGCAGUGGCGGCUAUACAAAACAAGCUGCCACUGAAUCUAAGGCAGCACUGUAGUAUGGACAAUUGGAUGAUAAGUAAAGCCAUACUACUAGGUAAGAACCCAGAAGCAAACCAUGGCAAAAUAAAGUCUUAGGUAAUCCAUAAUUUGGAAGUCCCAAAGCAGGGGCAGAAAAUAAAUGUCUGGAGAACCAAAAAGGCUCAUUCACAUUACUUGGGUUAUAGAAGGUAGGUUUAAAAUAUUCCUUUCUGAGUGAGGGUUCGUAUAGGGGCAACUAUUGAUGACAAAUGUGGCAUCUAGAAUUGUGCACAGCGGAAACAUUUGUUUUGGCUCAAAAAAAUAAAUUCAGGAUGGCCGGAUUUUGGCCAUAUGGUGAAUUACUCUUUUUUGCCUGCACUGGUGGAAUCCCAAAUCGUAAAUAAAAACAAACAUAAAUCCAUUGUGCAUUUUGUUUGUUUCGUGAUUCAGCUACUUUUUUUUCCCAGGGUUUGGGAAUUCAGACGAUCACCCCAUCGACCAAAAUUCAGGCAAAUUGUAGUUUGGAACAAAACUGCCUAAAAAUGAUCUUACUCCCUUUACGGUGCAUUUACAUGUCAUGCAGUCUACAUGCACUUGAAGCACAGAGAAUGCGAUUCAUUUGACAAGUUGUGACCCAACUAUUUAUCAGUGAGUCACGAUUAUAGUUUUGUUCCUUUUUUAGCAAAAAGGUGCAGAUGUUUCAGACAGUUCUGCUGCACUGGCCUCUGUUUAAUAUUUUUGUUGAGCUUUUCAAAUGAUUUUGUAUUUCUGGAUACAUUUUUAAAAAAAAUGAUUUUUUUUAUAUUACAAUAUCAAAAAUAUAUUACAUAUAAAAUAUAUCAAUAUCUCAGAAAAUAUUAAAUAGUAAAAUAUUAAAAUAUUUUUUAUAAUAUUCAAUAAUUUAAAAAGUUUAUCCAAAAACAUUAGAUUAACUGAAAAGAUUAUCCAAAAAUCUUAAAUCAAGGCCACAGUGCCUAAACCAGGUGAGGUGAGUAAUAAGUUAUCAAACUACUGUAUCAAGGCAGACCUUAGAAGUUCAAUGUCCUGAAAAUCCUUCAGGACUUUAUGUAUCCACGUGGACACCUAGUCAAUGUGUGUUGGCUGCCCUCAUAGGUAAAUGCCAAUACAUGUUGGGUUUCCUUUUGUAAGGAAAUAGGAAAGAAGGCUUAAAAUGGAUUAUAAUAUAAAAAGAAUCAGUGUCCGUGAUUGUAGCUGGAUUAGGAAUCAGUAGACAAAUGGGUCCUACAAUAGCAUUAAUGGCUCUGCAAUCUUGAAUAAAGUGGUUCUAGUGAUACUGCCCUUCAGUGGAGGAUUUCUUGAUGGUAUGGUGUUUUAAAGGCCGAAUUGUUGUAUUGAUCUAAUAAAUGUUGUAUAAUGAGAAUAAUUCUCUUUAGUGAUUCCUGAAUAAGAGGGUAUGUGAUAUUUUGGGCACUUAAACAUUAUUACUGGUCCAGCUGAGGGGAUUUGUCCUAUCAUAGUAGAUGGUAAUCAUUGCAAAAUUGCCUCAUCUUUGGAUGCCAUUAUUAGGCAAGAGUUGUAAUCACUAGAGACAAAUAUUGGUUCCAAAGUGUCAUUCACCAAAUCAUGAUGUACAUCAGCGAUGACUUGAUAGAUCCCAUCAGGAGGGUAUUAAAUCAGUCCAACUUUGAUAAUAGAUUUUUGCCUAAAAGUGUGUAGGGGCAUGUGAAGCUUAAUAAUAAGGAUUUUUCUUCUUUUCAUUAGUGGAAUAUUAAUUUAGAUAGUUUGCUGAAGAGUGUUGAGGACAAUAUUGUUAGAUGUGUCAAUCAAAAAGGAUUCAUUUUGUUAUUCAGUUCCCAAGUUACAAUGGGACUUUCUUUGUUUACAGUAACUAGCAGUGCACAUGGUUCAUUAUGUCAUUGUGAAUCAGCAAGAGCAUUCAGACAGAAAGGGGAGAGAGGGGGAGGAAAAAUAUAUUAACUGUCUCCUUCCUUUUUUAGUCUCUCCUGUUGUGUAUCCAUCCCAUCUUGUUGUAAGGUUCUGAACUCUUGGGCAAAGAGACCAAUCUUCCAUACAUGAAACAUUAUCCUUGGUGUAUUACUUUUAACCCUUCCCCAGAUUCUUCCGUGUGACUUUCCUGUUAUAGAACUUUAAAGGGACACUAUAGUCACCAAAACAACUUUACCUCAAUGAAACAGUUUGUGUACAGUGGUGCAUAGAUCAUGUACCUGCAGUCUGACUGCUCAAUUCUCUGUCAUUUAGGAGUUAAAUCACUUUGUUUAUGAACCCUAGUCACACCUCCCUGCAUGUGACUUGCACAGUCUUCAUAAAUACUUCCUGUAAAGAGUCAUCUAAUGCUUAUCCUUCCUUUAUUGCAAGUUCUGUUUAAUUUAGAUUUUCUUAUCCCCUGCUAUGUUAAAAGCCUGCUAGAACCUGCAAGAGCCUCUUGUAUGUGAUUAAAGUUCAAUUUGCAGUGAAAGAGAUACAAUUGUUUAGCGUAAAUUACAUCUGAUUGAAAGUGAAACCAGUUUUUUUUUUCAUGCAAGCUGUGUCAAUCAGGUGUGGCAAUAGUUGCAGAAACAGAAACAAAGUGACUUAACUCCUAAAUGGUAGUGAACUGAGUAAUGAAACCUGAGAGGCAUGAUCUAUACAUGAAAACUGCUUCAUUAAGCUAAAGUUUUUUAGGUGACUAUAGUGUCCCUUUAACUAAGCAGCCAUAAGAUUUGAAUACAGGCAUUUCUUUUUGAUAGAAAUUAAUUUAACAUUGGCACCAAUGUAAUAUUCUUGGAUAAAUAUUUGUAAGUGUAUCCAAUAAUUGGCAAUGUCUAC